UGUCAUCUUUUCUAAACUAAAGGUGUUAAUUACAUUUUAUAUUUUGAAUGAUUAUCUUCCAGCUAAAAUAACUGUAUUUACCUAAGUGAAUAAUUUAAGAAUUAUUUCUGUCAAAAUCAGUGACUUAUUUCCUGCAUCUGAUGUGUUUUAUGUUGUCAUUGACGUGCCAGAGCCUCAAGGAUUUUGAGUGUUCUAUAUACAGUGUGGCUGCUCGUACUCCUGUUUAUAUUGUAUUAUAUCGUACAAAAUUUGCUUGCCUGCCUAAUCUAGGACCCGUGUAUGGUUCCCAUCUUUUGUCAGUUGGCAUGCUAGUUCCUCUUGUAAUAUCUUGCAUGAUGAUUGCUGCAUAUUCAUGCCCCCAACUCAAGGCAUCCGUGCUUCCUAUCGUGAGCAUUGAAUCUCCAUGUGUCUGACAGUUUUUCUCAAUUUCAUCAUGUAUACAUAGUUGAGAUCCAAUGUGGUUUUUAGAAAUAGUCCAUAUAAUUGACAAACUUGCAUCUCUAAUUGACUUAAAAGCACCUCUGUGGCUGUGAAGUCCGUGUAAAUUCCAUUAACCUGUUAGGUUCAGUAACCCCAAAUCUCGAGGGGAUGUUUUCCCCAUUAGCAGAGAGGGUCUGGCUGUCAGAAGUGUUGGUGAGCCGGAUGCCUGUAAGGUUCCUGUUCUCGAAAGCAAACUUGCCUCCGCUUUGUGUAGUAGGGAGCUGCACUGUUCCCCUGCUUCUUGCUUUUAGUGUGUGGUCGAGCUCAGAGCAGCUCGUCCAAGCGAUCUUUGAGGGCUAUCAAAAAGGGAACUGAAGACUGUAACUGGUGUUACCGGUAAGAAGGUUAGGACGGUUUGAUCGUGGUAACUACUUAUAGGAUCUCUAACUGUUUUUUUAUUCCAGUCUGGCAAUGUAGGAGAUACCUACACUGUAAAAUUCUAUCACAGCAAAAAGGUACCUUUAUCUCGUGCUCGAAAGAUGAGUCAUCUCUGAGAUACCAAAUAAAUGGGGCGAUAUUUAUUUGUUUGGGCAGUGUGUUUUAUAUCAUGCCUCACACUAAAGCAAAUAAGUGGUUUUGUUGCCCAUUUGAUCUCAGUGUUCCUUUUCAGUCCAGAAACCUUAUAUUUCGUGGUUCUUAUGAAUUUUCUUACCAUCUAGUAAUGCAUAUAGGUGUGGCUUGUAUUUAAAACACAAACAAAAGAAACAACAUAACCCUAAAAUUUCCUUUUCUAAUGCAUCAUUUUGCUUUACUGUUUCCAGUCCAUUGUUAUCCUACACAUGCCACUUAGAUGAUAAAUUGGCUAUAAUAUAUUAAAAACGCUUGUUUUUCUUCAAUAUUCUCUAGCUGGACAGCUGAUAGUAGCCAUGACUAUAAAUAUCGCUCUGGUAGAUAUCUGAUCUUAAACUUUAUAGAACAAUUUUGUAUUGGAGAAUCAUAUCUAUUUGGAAGAAUCUGUGCAACAAGACUCUGACUGUGAAAGAAUAGUUAUCCUUGGUGUAUUUGAUCCAUUUUGAAAUGAUACUAGGAUCUGUAGUUAUUUAUGUAUUACUAGCGAAGUGAUCAGAAAGCUUUAAAUAUACCAGUGGUGUGGUUUGCAUAAGGAAAUUGCUGAGUGCCUCUGUUUCAGAAUUUGCUUUUUAUGCUGAUGAGAGGACCUUUAUCUUUUUACUGCAUAUCUUUUUCUAUUGUGUGUAUUUUUUUUUAAUUUCUUCCCUGAGGAAGAAAUGGGGGGUGUGUGGGGUGAUAUAGGAGGAGGAAUAGGGGCUGGUACCUGGGGCUUUUUUCCCCACAAUUGCCCUUCCCUUGUCCCUACUACAGAUGCUGGGUAAGUGAAUAUCACCAGAGAGAUGCGUAGCUUAUUCAUGGCUUGAUGAACUUGCAUAUGGUGAAAAUGCAUCAGAAUUUUGAGUACAUCUGAUCAAAAGAGCAUACGGAGUCAGCUGUCAUCAAAUCUGAAGGAAUGCGGCUCACAUCAGGACUCUACAUGUGCUGUAACUGGUCUUUCAGAUCUCUCUCAAUCUCUUUACAGCAUCUCUGCAUCACGCUGCUCUGGGAUAGCUCUCAGAGAACACAUAUACAGAUAGAUCUAAAAUAAAUAAUAAAAUCCAAUGCCAUCGUACGUGGAGGUUGGCAGUUGUAAAACUGACGACCCAGCGGUGCAGCUGGCACUUGGGGGUACCUCUCGUCAGGAGAGCGAGCAGACGGUGGCGCGAGUUGCUCUCAGUGGAGGUGUAACAAAGGCUGUUGUGGGUAUCUUGUUGGAGUUGGUGGGUAGUGGGGGCUGCAGGCUGAAUGUAGGAAGUUGGUUCUGUCUUGCUGCUCUGAUAGCGAUUGGAUUUAGGAUUUCUCCGUGUGCGGUGCAGUCUGGGCUCCUGACUAUAGCUCUAUCUCAUAUAAGAGAGGGGAGGACAGUGUCUUCUGGGAAUUGCUAAGCAGUUGUGUUAGUGGUGCCUUCAGCAGUUAAACAAACAAAAUCCCUCUCUUCUUGUGGAAUCUUUCUGCUGAUUCUGGUAGUUUUUUGGCUUUUGUUUUUUAAUUCCUCUUCUACCCAUUGUUGUUCCUGAAAGCAGGCUGGUUUAAGAAUUCCUUUGUCUUUUCUGUGUUCAGGUCCUUUAAAUUUGCUGAAAAUGCAACAUAACUUCAAAUGAGCUAGUGCGUUAUCUCUGUUACAUCUUGGUGUUUGUACUCCUUGUUUGUUAAUGUGAAGUAGGGUGUUACACAGUCCUGCUGAAAGUGAAGCCCAUUUGAUCUUUGGCUGCAGAGUCUCGAUAUUGAAUGAAACUGUUUUCACUGCAGAGGAAUUAGUAUUUUCCCCUGAUUUUAGUGUCAGCAAUGAUUUUCCAGCUACAGGAAUGAGAAUAUUGUAUGUAGAAUGAAGGCUGUGUUCUUCUCAUGGGAUGUUCAGCCCCAUUCUCAUUAAAGUUAAUGAAAAUACAUAUACUUCCUAGGUAGUGUGACUCAUGGUUAAAAACAUUCUCCGUUUAUUUAUUGUAUGGCUUCCAUUAUACAGCAUUCCUGCUUAUCAGUCGUAUCAUACUAAAAAAAAAAAGUCACCGAAAACCAGAAGCAAAGACAGAACUUAUUUCAGUCACAGAACAACCGAAGGUGUUUUGUAAGGGGGUUUUGGGUUACCAUUAUCAGACCACGGGUCGGGGAGAGGGAAGAAGGGAAAUGAACGUUAAAUGCUCAUUCUCAGUAAUGUAAAUACUUUUUGUAUUCACAACCUUUUUAUUAUUAUUAUUAUUAUUAUUUACAUUUGUCUGCCAGGUACUUGAGGUGCUGCUCAGCCUGCCUUUAUGCAUGUCUGGCCUGUAGGUCUGGUGCCUUUAGACACUGUUGCUGUGUACUGGCAAACAGAAGAUAGAAUGGGUGUAAGUUUCUGCAUAUAAUUUCUUGCAACGUAGUGUUUUUAUAUGAUACUUCGUGUGGAGGUAUCUGGGAGAAAGAAACCUAAGUAGUGCGUGGUCAGCUGGAAAAAUAAAAGAAAGAAUUGUGCAAUUUAAGAAGUGGGUUAUGGGCCUUUCUGUAAGGACGAUCACCAGACCCAAGGCCUUCCAGAAGCCAGGCCACCCUUGUCUUCAUCUCUUACAGAUGGUGAGUUAGGUCUGCUGUGUGUUUGUAUGUCUAUAAACACUUUUUUUUUUUUUUGAGUUUUAUAUACUUUAGGAUACUGCUUUAUUCUUGUGCAGGUAGGCUACGGUUUUUCAAUUACUUUCAGCCAUGAACUUGGAUCAAACCUGAUAACCAAAGGAGACCAUGCUUCAGCCUGAAGCAGAGGGCCUGCCCAGGCCCCGUCUUCCUACUGAUACUGGGCGCAGAUAAAGCCUUUUGGCCAGCGACUGGGCAGCACUGGUGCAGCAGAGGAGGCGGCAGGGGCUUAAUGCAGCUGUGCUUUGCUGGGCCUGUGGCCUCAAAUGCAGCACAGAGCAUCUCUGUGCUGUCCCAACUUGUCAGGAGGAGGAAUAGAAUAAAAGCUGGAAUUCUUCAUGAUGAGAAAUGCAGUAUCAACAUAAUCAAUCUAGCAGCAUUAUGUUGUAGCUGAAAACAUGCUUAAAUCCCAAGCCAUACAGGUACCUUUUGUGAGUGAAACAUCUUUCAUAUAGUUCUAAGAUGAAAUUACCCCUGAAUGAAUAGCAUCUUCAUUUAUCUUCAAAACCUCUGCGCUACCAGUGAAUCUACUCUUUCCACAUUCUACAACUAGAAUUACAUUAUACCAUUAGAGCAGUGUUGGGCUGCAGUCUAAAAUAGAUUGUUUUGGAAAAUGAACAUGGCUUUGCUAUAAAUUACGUUCACAGGUACAAAGGAAUUUGUUAUUUUGUUUAAAAUAGUCACAAAUAUAAUUAAGCUCUUAAUUUAUGUUAAACUACAAAUGUGGCCAUUACCAUAACUGGAUUAGGAAUUUAAUCUGUCACUCAAAGAAUGAUACUGAACAGUUUUCAUUUAUAACCUUAGACAUACUAUUUCAGUUACAGGGUCUGCAGCUGUUUGAUAUGAAAACUGAAUUAUUCUGUAGAUUUGUUCAUGGUUUUUAAUUUUAAAAUGUGUUCCUGCAAUAAAGUAGAGAAUAACUC